GUGACCGACUCUUUCGUGUGCUUCACCACUUCAGCAAACAACACAUUUUGUGUUGGCAGUAGAUCGACGAUCCAUGCAUGGCAAACAAGUCCUCGAAGGCGCACAAGCGCACGCAGACAAUACAAACUGCAGUAGCUAACUAGGCACGUUCUGUGGUGUACCCCUCUCAAGCUGGCCCAUAGUGCAUAUAUGCGUCCACACCAGGCGUUACCGGUUCAUUGUCCUGAGCUAUUCUGCACCAGCAGGCAGCCGGCCAUCGUGCAAUCCACUUCUAUGUGAAUUUCGGUUUACUGGAAGAGGCAGCGAAACGCCCUGGUAGCCUUCGCCGACAAGUACCACGUCUUCGGAAGCUCGAAGCUGGUUGUUGCCCAGUUCACUCCACUAGGAACAAUGCACAGUGUACAGUUCAUGCCGUACAAAGUUACCCCCAUUUUUACUAUAUUCAUGACAUGUUGUUAUGCCACAUUGUUCUGCACAAAUAAUCUCUCCUGAUUUGCAUCUAUUAUACUUUCGAUUUUGAUUUG